GCCUCUUUAGCUCAGUGGCAGAGCAACGGUUUCGUAAACCGUAGACACCAGUUCGAUUCUGGUAGGAGGCUC
rnacentral:tRNA from 1 species